GACGAACGCUGGCGGCGUGCUUAACACAUGCAAGUCGAACGAAGUGGCGAACGGGUGAGUAACGCGUAAUCAACCUGCCCUUCAGAGGGGGACAACAGUUGGAAACGACUGCUAAUACCGCAUACUGAAGGAGGGGAUUGCGUCGGAUUAGCUAGUUGGAGGGGUAACGGCCCACCAAGGCGAUGAUCAGUAGGCGGGCUGAGGGGAUGAACGGCCACCAUGGGACUGGGACACGGCCCCGACUCCUACGGGGAGCAGCAGGGGGGGAUCUUCCGCAAUGGGCGGAAGUCUGACGGAGCAACGCCGCGUGAGUGAUGACGGCCUUCGGGUUGUAAAGCUCUGUUAAUCGGGACGCGGUACCGGAAUAGAAAGCCACGGCUAACUACGUGCCAGCCGCCGCGGUAAUAC
rnacentral:rRNA from 1 species